AUUGAACGCUGGCGGGAUGCUUUACACAUGCAAGUCGAACGAGUGGCGGACGGGUGAGUAAUGUCUCGGAAAUUGCCUAAUGGCGGGGGAUAACUACUGGAAAGAGUAGCUAAUACCGCAUACUAUUGGAUCUGCCCGUAUGUGAUUAGCUAGUUGGUGGGGUAAAGGCUCACCAAGUCAACGAUCCCUAGCUGGUCUGAGAGGACGACCAGCCACACUGGGACUGAGACACGGUCCAGACUCCUACGGGAGGCAGCGGUGGGGAAUUUUAGACAAUGGGCGAAAACCUGAUUCAGCCAUACCGCGUGUAUGAUGAAGGCCUUCGGGUUGUAAAGUACUUUUCGCAGAGAAGCGGUACCUGCAGAAUAAGCACCGGCUAACGACGGGCCAUCAGCCGCGGUAAUAC
rnacentral:rRNA from 1 species